rnacentral:rRNA from 1 species
GGUCAAGUGAAGAAGCGCAUACGGUGGAUGCCUUGGCAGUCAGAGGCGAUGAAAGACGUGGUAGCCUGCGAAAAGCUUCGGGGAGUCGGCAAACAGACUUUGAUCCGGAGAUCUCUGAAUGGGGGAACCCACCUAGGAUAACCUAGGUAUCUUGUACUGAAUCCAUAGGUGCAAGAGGCGAACCAGGGGAACUGAAACAUCUAAGUACCCUGAGGAAAAGAAAUCAACCGAGAUUCCCUUAGUAGUGGCGAGCGAACGGGGAUUAGCCCUUAAGCUUCAUUGAUUUUAGCGGAACGCUCUGGAAAGUGCGGCCAUAGUGGGUGAUAGCCCCGUACGCGAAAGGAUCUUUGAAGUGAAAUCGAGUAGGACGGAGCACGAGAAACUUUGUCUGAACAUGGGGGGACCAUCCUCCAAGGCUAAAUACUACUGACUGACCGAUAGUGAACCAGUACCGUGAGGGAAAGGCGAAAAGAACCCCGGAGAGGGGAGUGAAAUAGAACCUGAAACCGUAUGCGUACAAGCAGUGGGAGCCUACUUGUUAGGUGACUGCGUACCUUUUGUAUAAUGGGUCAGCGACUUAUAUUCAGUGGCAAGCUUAACCGUAUAGGGUAGGCGUAGCGAAAGCGAGUCUUAAUAGGGCGUUUAGUCGCUGGGUAUAGACCCGAAACCGGGCGAUCUAUCCAUGAGCAGGUUGAAGGUUAGGUAACACUGACUGGAGGACCGAACCCACUCCCGUUGAAAAGGUAGGGGAUGACUUGUGGAUCGGAGUGAAAGGCUAAUCAAGCUCGGAGAUAGCUGGUUCUCCUCGAAAGCUAUUUAGGUAGCGCCUCAUGUAUCACUCUGGGGGGUAGAGCACUGUUUCGGCUAGGGGGUCAUCCCGACUUACCAAACCGAUGCAAACUCCGAAUACCCAGAAGUGCCGAGCAUGGGAGACACACGGCGGGUGCUAACGUCCGUCGUGAAAAGGGAAACAACCCAGACCGCCAGCUAAGGUCCCAAAGUUGUGGUUAAGUGGUAAACGAUGUGGGAAGGCUUAGACAGCUAGGAGGUUGGCUUAGAAGCAGCCACCCUUUAAAGAAAGCGUAAUAGCUCACUAGUCGAGUCGGCCUGCGCGGAAGAUGUAACGGGGCUCAAACCACACACCGAAGCUGCGGGUGUCACGUAAGUGACGCGGUAGAGGAGCGUUCUGUAAGCCUGUGAAGGUGAGUUGAGAAGCUUGCUGGAGGUAUCAGAAGUGCGAAUGCUGACAUGAGUAACGACAAUGGGUGUGAAAAACACCCACGCCGAAAGACCAAGGGUUCCUGCGCAACGUUAAUCGACGCAGGGUUAGUCGGUUCCUAAGGCGAGGCUGAAAAGCGUAGUCGAUGGGAAACAGGUUAAUAUUCCUGUACUUCUGGUUACUGCGAUGGAGGGACGGAGAAGGCUAGGCCAGCUUGGCGUUGGUUGUCCAAGUUUAAGGUGGUAGGCUGAAAUCUUAGGUAAAUCCGGGGUUUCAAGGCCGAGAGCUGAUGACGAGUCGUCUUUUAGAUGACGAAGUGGUUGAUGCCAUGCUUCCAAGAAAAGCUUCUAAGCUUCAGGUAACCAGGAACCGUACCCCAAACCGACACAGGUGGUCGGGUAGAGAAUACCAAGGCGCUUGAGAGAACUCGGGUGAAGGAACUAGGCAAAAUGGCACCGUAACUUCGGGAGAAGGUGCGCCGGCUAGGGUGAAGGAUUUACUCCGUAAGCUCUGGCUGGUCGAAGAUACCAGGCCGCUGCGACUGUUUAUUAAAAACACAGCACUCUGCAAACACGAAAGUGGACGUAUAGGGUGUGACGCCUGCCCGGUGCCGGAAGGUUAAUUGAUGGGGUUAGCGCAA